GCGUGCAAUUGUGUAAUGUUCUAAGCAAUUUGGAAGCAAAAUACAUGAGCUAAACAAAAACAAUAGCAAUUGCAACAACAUCAGCCAAAAAGGGAUCCAAAAACGAACAGACAUUCAAACAAGAAAAGAGAAUACGAACAAGACGAUGUAGUUAAAUGUGAGACUCUACUGAAGCUCGAAGGCAUUCGAAGAAAUUUUAACGGCACUGAAGGCAUAAUUGUAUGUAAGCAACCCCUCCACACCAGUUAACCAAGCAACAAUACCCAUAUACACAACGGUCUGGCGGCCUGCCUCUCUGCUUUUUCUAUUGUGUGGCUACUCAGCACAUUGUUGUGUAGUGCUCGGCACUCACAACGCCACUCGCUCACCAAUCAAACCAGCCAAGCCAGCGAGCAAGCAAGCAAAAUCAUUCAGUUAACCAACUAACUGACUGGCUCUUGGCAUUUGUUGCUUUUGCUUCACUUUAUAUGAACGUCGCCGUCGCCGUCGCAGUCAACGAUUUUACAGCAAACGCACCUAAAUACAUACAUACAAACAUACACAAAUGUCGUUGGUUGAUUGUGUGGAUGACGAUGACGCCCGAACGCUGGGAUUGACUGACUGAGUCACAGCGGCAGUUCAUGCCUUCAUUGUUUAUAGCGGAGUGUUGCUUACAAACGCGCUAUUGUUGUUGCUGUGAG